AUGCCCAUUGAUCUCAACAACAACAGGGGAGAGAUGGGGAGAGAAGAUGCAGCCCACACUGUGAAAAUGGUUCAAACUUGUCAUUUCCCCGCCUCCCCCCAAGAAGGCAAGGGAGCCCCAAAUGCAGCUCUAUUUCCUCUUCCCACCCCCUCCACACCCCCAACCCAGGCAGCCUGGUCACUCUCCUUGGCUUCUGCUGUCCCAACCUCACCUGGAACAGCCUUUUGUGGAGGCGGCCACAGGAAUAACAUUCCCGAGUCACGGGAUAGCAUAAAGCUUCACAACUGCCUUGCAGAGCCAAAAGGCCAUUGUCCCUGUUUUCCAGACAUGGAGACUUGGGACAAGGACAGUGGUGGGAUUUUUCGAGGCCACACUGCUGGCUGACAGCACAGCAGUGACUCAUUCAGCCUCCUCCUGCUACUUUUCGGCUUAGGGUUUUCACAGACUGAGUACAACUCAGCCAUGCAAAAGGUUGGGAAGCACAUUUUGAACUGAGACAGUUUACCACCCUUGUGACGAAUACCUCUGCACACUGCUGGCCAUGGAUUAGGAGGAUGGGCCUCCCACCCGUAACACACAGGCUCUGCUGAUAAAACUGGUAAAACGGGCCUGUGACUACUGAAUGGGACCCAAGUCUGCAAAAAGGUAAAAGAGCCAAAAAGCCAAGUCAGGGUCUGCAGAGAGGAACAAGCACAAGAUAUGUGCCUGAGCCUCUCACCCAACUUUCUAGGGAUCUCUGAUUCUCCAGAUAGCACAAAAACAGGCGAAGGCAGGGAGACACUUUCCUCCUUGUGCUGUGCCACCAACCUUCUCUACAGCCAUCCUCACCCUGUUUCUGCCUUAAAGCAUCUUGCUUCAUCUAUGCAGGAGUAGGCAUACAGCAGAAACAAAACCCACAAAACCCUUGCCUGAAAGGGGCUUCCAUGAUGGAGAUUAGGUGGAUAACAAACAAGUAAAAUACACAGUGAGUGGGGGCUCUGGGUGUUCUGGAGGAAAAGUAACACAGGGAAGGAAGAGUAAAGGACUGAGGACUUGGGGGACUGUAAAACUGUACACAGGGUGCUCAGGGAGGGCUUCACACUUACACGAUGACUUUUAUAAGAGACAUGAAAUAAACUCCUCUCAGACACUAUAUAU
rnacentral:lncRNA from 1 species